UCAAUAAUUUUCAAAAAUAUGUUGCAUUUUGUCCUUUGGUUAGCUAUAAGAGGUCAUUUAGGAAAGGGCCGUGGCCACAUGUAACCUAAAGCCUAUAAAACUGAAACAAAAACUCAAAACUUUAUGAAACUUGGUUAUAACAUGUGAAAGAUGACCCACCAAGCAUGCAAAGUUUCAUUAAGAUCAGAAAAUAGCUGGUGCUAUAACAGUUAAAAUGGCCUAAAAAACAAAAGAUUUCUGUUGUGAAUGGCAUUAAACUGCAAAAAAAAAGGGGGGUAAUAUAAUCACACAUGCAUUAGAUCUGUAUUUUUUCUAAACAAUCAUGCAAAAUUUAACAGAGAUUAGGUAAAAAAGAACACUGUAAUAUUUAUAAAGCUUCAAAACCCAGUGUUGAAUAAAAAAUUGCAAUUAUAACCACUAGAUGUCACCGGAAGACCACUAAUGAGCUCACUAAAGACUAAAACAUUACAGUUUAUGGGCUUGUUGAGGGAUUCAUCUAGAAAAAUGUAUAUUACUAUUAUUUAAUAUUACUGUUCAAGCAUUUCAGAUCACAUUGAGUCAAAGUUUACCAAUUUAUUCAUACAGAUAUAUCUAAUGUUUAUAAUUAUGCCAGAUUAUGAUUGCAAUGAAACCUGAAAAAUGACAUAGAAGCCCAUAAAAACAGAAGACUUGCAAUAGGUUUUAUCACCCAUCAUUUAUUUUAAUUAUCUAUAUAUAUAACAAAAUGUGUGCAUCUGUGUGUGGGUUUAAGCAUGCUUAUUGAGUAUUAAUAUAGUAGUUUAAACAUUUCAUGUUUGUGUGUGUCUGUAAUUCUGUUCUAUUCUUUUACUGUCAGCCAUAUCUAGGUUAUUUAAAAUCAGUGCAGUACUAUUAUCUAGACUGUGAAAUUAUACAUAAAUUGCGUAUGCUUCUUUGGAAUGAAAUUAAGACAACAUAUAACAGUUAUAAAGGUUAAAGAGACAGUCUUGUAUGAUAAAUUGCAUUUACGACCACUAGAUGUCACUGGAAGACCACUAAUGGGCUUUGCAGAGAUAUAGCCUCAGACUCAUUUUGUGAAGAUGCCUGACAUCUGAAGCAGCGCUGUACAAAAACGGUUUCGUCUAUUGACACGAAAUCCACAACUUUUUGUCAGCACGGUCUGAAGAUGAUCUGAUUCAAUUUUGGUGAAAAUCGGACAAACGGUUGAGGAUGAGUUUAAAAAAAAAGGUUUUCAACAUGAAUCAAAAUGGCGGAUAGGAAGUUUUGCUUAAUAUGACAUAAUUGGUAUGCAUGUUGUCGGCAUGUCCCAAGGAACAUUUUGAGACAUGUUUCAUGAUAAUAGGCUAAUGCAAUCAAAAGUUAUUAGCAUUAUUGGAAAUGUAAUAAUUAGCGGUUAUUGAUUGGUUUAUUACUCUUGACCAAUAGGUGGCGCUGUGACCAAAAUGAUGUGGCGUGGUCAAUGUGAUGUGACAAUGUCACAUAUUAAGUUUUGUGUAAAUAUCUCCAACCUUUGUAGAGAUACAGCCUCAGAUGCAGUUUGGCAUCUUUCCAGCAAAUUAGUUGGUACGCUAAUUGAAAACGGUUAUGUGUAUCGACACAAAUUCCAUAACUUUUUGCCAGCAUGGUCUGAAGAUGAUCCAAAUCAAAUUUGGUGAAAAUCUGAGCAACGGUCUAGGAGGAGUUCGAAAAAGUAGGUUUUCAACAUGAAUCAAAAUGGCGGACAGGAAAUUUUGCCAAAAUUGACAAAUGGGGUAUCGGUGUUCUCGGCAUGACCCAAGGAAUCUAUCAACAUCAGCUUUGUUACAAUAGGCUAAUGUAUGCAAAAGUUAUUAGCAUUUUUCGAAAAAAUCGUUAUAACUAUUGACCACAAGGUGGCGCUGCCCCCAAUUUUUUUGUGUACAUUCAGGGCAUGGAGCCGGACAUUUUUGUAAUUAUUUGCGAAAUGAUACGGAACUUCAUUCUUAAGAUACAGCAAUUUACAACUAAAUCCAAAAUGGCCGACGCCCAAAAUGGCCGAAUUGGGAAAAUUCGGUAUCAUUCGACUCGGAAUGAUGCACUGAAUCUAAAGACACCACUUUUGUGAUUUUUGGCAAAACCGUUCAGAAGUUAUGAGCAAAAACAUGCAUUUUUCGUAUCUCCUGACCACUAGGGGGCACAGCGCCGAAACACUGCAGGUAGUCCCAGGGAAUGGUUGUUAUAAGACCCACCAAGAUUGGUCUCAAUAGGCCAAACCGUUGCGGAGAUAUAGCCUCACGUUCACGUUUGCGUGCUUUUCGAAGAAUUCGUUCAUGAGCUAUUCGGAAACGGUUUGAGAAAUCAACUUGAGUUCCAUAACUUUUUGCCAGCAUGGUCUGAAGAUUAUCUGAUUCAAUUUUCGUGACAAUCGGUGCAACGGCCUAGGACGAGUUCGAAAAAGUAGGUUUUACGAACAAUUGACGAUAGCGAAAAAACUAAGCCUUGCGAUUUUUGAAUUUCGGUGUCCAUUCGACUCGGCAUGAGCCAAGGAAUCACAGGAAAAAAGAAUUUUCAUUUUGUGGCUUACGGUUCAAGAGUUAUUAGCAUCAAGUUUUUGAAAGUUUAGACAAUUGGUGGCGCUAGAGAGUUUGAGUUAGAGACUUCAAAUUUGCUACGGUUAAUGGUCAGACAGUCCUCUAUUAGUGUGCCAAAUUAUACAACUUUCCCGCAAUCGGUUCUAUGGGCUACCAUAGACUUGGGGUGGAAGAAGAAUAAUAAUAAUAAAUAUAGCUGCAAGCAGCAAUUACGGGGCCAAGCACUCCAACGGCAAAUGUAGGAGCUAAGCAUGGCAUGAAGCAUCACACCAAAUACAUUAAUGAGCAAUAACAGUAAUUUUGGAAUUAUUGUAAUUGAAAUGGCAAAAAAAAAAUCAUAAUACCACCUCUAGUAGCAUGAUUACUUGGCUUAUAAAGUUUGACCAAUAGGUGGCACUGUUAUGAAAUCAAUUUGGUGUACUCUGUUUGACUUUUCAAUGACACACACAAAGUUUGGUGUUAAUAUGCCACAGCAUUCCAGAGAUGCAGCCUCAAGUGUCAUUUUGUCAUUGUGUUUCAACUUCGUCGCUUUGGUAUGCGAAAACGGUUUUGUCUAUCGACACAAAAUCCAUAACUUUGUGUCAACAUAGUCUGAAGAUCAUCUGAUUCGAAUUUGGUGAAAAUUGGACAUACGGUUCAUGAGGAGUUCGAAAAAGUAGGUUUUCCACAUAAAUCAAAAUGGUGGACCGGAACUUCAGUAAACACUGGCAUAUUUGGUAUCUAUGUUAUCGGCAUAAGCCAGGGAAUAUUUUGAGCCCAGUUUCGUUGCAAUAGGCUAAUGGACUAAAAAGUUAUUAGCAUUUUAAAAAGUGUAAUUACUCAUGGUUAAUGAAUGGUUUAUUACUCUUGACCAAUAGGUGGCGCUGUUACCAAAUUUAUGUGGCAUGGUCAGUGUGAGGUGGCGAUGACACAUACAAAGUUUGGUGCAAAAAUGUCAAAGCGUUGCAGAGAUACAGCCUCAAAUGCAUUUUGGCACCCUUCCAGCAAAUUCGUUGAUGCGCUAAAUCAGAACCGUUUUGUAUAUC